rnacentral:sRNA from 1 species
AAUAUUCGCGUGUUCUCCCAGUCUAUUUCUUCCAUACACUCUAUACUGUGCCUUGCUAAACCUCCGUCUUCUUUCCCCAUUCGUUCUUCUGCCACCGCUAUUCGUCCAUUUCUCAUAUCCUCGUUUGUUAAUGUUAACACGAGAGCAAAGUAAGAUUAACAAACGAGGAUAUGAGAAAUGGACGAAUAGCGGUGGCAGAAGAACGAAUGGGGAAAGAAGACGGAGGUUUAGCAAGGCACAGUAUAGAGUGUACGGAAGAAAUAGACUGGGAGAACAC